rnacentral:rRNA from 1 species
CCUACGGGUGGCAGCAGUGAGGAAUAUUGGUCAAUGGCCGGAAGGCUGAACCAGCCAAGCCGCGUGAAGGACGAAGGUGCCAAGCAUUGUAAACUUCUUUUGUCAAGGGACAAAAUCAGGCUCGAGAGCCUGACCGAGGGUACUUGAAGAAAAAGCAUCGGCUAACUCCGUGCCAGCAGCCGCGGUAAGACGGAGGAUGUGAGCGUUAUCCGGUUUUAUGGGGUUUAAAGGGUGCGUAGGCGGGCUGUUAAGUCAGCGGUAAAAGCCCGGGGCUCAACCCCGGCGAGCCGUUGAAACUGGCUGUCUUGAGAUGUCGAGAGGUAUGCGGAAUGCGCAGUGUAGCGGUGAAAUGCUUAGAUAUUGCGCAGAACUCCGAGUGCGAAGGCAGCAUACCGGCGGCGAUCUGACGCUGAGGCACGAAAGCGUGGGUAUCGAACAGGAUUAGAUACCCCAGUAGUC